rnacentral:tRNA from 1 species
UGUGUGUAAUUUAAAAAAAAUAACAA